rnacentral:tRNA from 1 species
UUUUCUCUAGCAUAGUGGUUUGAGUGUUAGACUACAGCUCUGGAGACCAGGGUUCAAUUCCCAGCUCAGUCA